CCCUGUACAGGGGGAUAACCCGGAGAAAUUCGGACUAAUACCCCAUAAAGAUAUGAAGAGGCAUCUUUUUAUAUUUAAAGUUCCGGCGGUACGGGAUGGGCAUGCGUAACAUUAGCUAGUUGGCAGGGUAACGGCCUACCAAGGCUACGAUGUUUAGGGGUCCUGAGAGGGUGAUCCCCCACACUGGUACUGAGACACGGACCAGACUCCUACGGGAGGCAGCAGUGAGGAAUAUUGGUCAAUGGGCGCAAGCCUGAACCAGCCAUCCCGCGUGCAGGAAGAAGGCGCUAUGCGUUGUAAACUGCUUUUCCAGGGGGCGAACAUCCCGCACGAGUGCGGGACUGACGGUACCUUGGGAAUAAGCAUCGGCUAACUCCGUGCCAGCAGCCGCGGUAAUACGGAGGAUGCAAGCGUUAUCCGGAUUUAUUGGGUUUAAAGGGUGCGUAGGCGGAUUAAUAAGUCAGUGGUGAAAACCUGCAGCUUAACUGUGGAACUGCCGUUGAUACUGUUAGUCUUGAGUAUGGUCAAGGUAGGCGGAAUGUGUAAUGCAGCGGUGAAAUGCUUAGAUAUUACACAGAACACCGAUUGCGAAGGCAGCUUACUGGGCCGUUACUGACGCUGAUGCACGAAAGCGUGGGGAUCGAACAGGAUUAGAUACCCUGGUAGUCCACGCCGUAAACGAUGAUCACUCGCUGUUGGCGAUACACAGUCAGCGGCUAAGCAAAAGCAUUAAGUGAUCCACCUGGGGAGUACGGCCGCAAGGCUGAAACUCAAAGGAAUUGACGGGGGCCCGCACAAGCGGAGGAACAUGUGGUUUAAUUCGAUGAUACGCGAGGAACCUUACCUGGGCUUAAAUGUAGAGUGCAUGAGGUAGAAAUACUUCUUCCCUUCGGGGCUCUUUGCAAGGUGCUGCAUGGUUGUCGUCAGCUCGUGCCGUGAGGUGUCGGGUUAAGUCCCAUAACGAGCGCAACCCUUAUCGUUAGUUGCCAGCGGGUAAUGCCGGGGACUCUAGCGAAACUGCCGGUGUAAACCGAGAGGAAGGUGGGGAUGACGUCAAAUCAGCACGGCCCUUAUGUCCAGGGCUACACACGUGUUACAAUGGCCGGUACAGAGGGCAGCUACCUGGAGACAGGAUGCGAAUCUCGAAAGCCGGUCUCAGUUCGGAUCGGAGUCUGCAACUCGACUCCGUGAAGCUGGAUUCGCUAGUAAUCGCGCAUCAGCCAUGGCGC
rnacentral:rRNA from 1 species